rnacentral:rRNA from 1 species
UUUGAUCAUGGCUCAGAUUGAACGCUGGCGGCAGGCCUAACACAUGCAAGUCGAGCGGAAACGAGUUAUCUGAACUUCGGGGAACGAUAACGGCGUCGAGCGGCGGACGGGUGAGUAAUGCCUAGGAAAUUGCCCUGAUGUGGGGGAUAACCAUUGGAAACGAUGGCUAAUACCGCAUGAUGCUACGGGCCAAAGAGGGGGACCUUCGGGCCUCUCGCGUCAGGAUAUGCCUAGGUGGGAUUAGCUAGUUGGUGAGGUAAGGGCUCACCAAGGCGACGAUCCCUAGCUGGUCUGAGAGGAUGAUCAGCCACACUGGAACUGAGACACGGUCCAGACUCUACGGGAGGCAGCAGUGGGGAAUAUUGCACAAUGGGCGCAAGCCUGAUGCAGCCAUGCCGCGUGUAUGAAGAAGGCCUUCGGGUUGUAAAGUACUUUCAGUCGUGAGGAAGGUAGUGUAGUUAAUAGCUGCAUUAUUUGACGUUAGCGACAGAAGAAGCACCGGCUAACUCCGUGCCAGCAGCCGCGGUAAUACGGAGGGUGCGAGCGUUAAUCGGAAUUACUGGGCGUAAAGCGCAUGCAGGUGGUUUGUUAAGUCAGAUGUGAAAGCCCGGGGCUCAACCUCGGAAUAGCAUUUGAAACUGGCAGACUAGAGUACUGUAGAGGGGGGUAGAAUUCAGGUGUAGCGGUGAAAUGCGUAGAGAUCUGAAGGAAUACCGGUGGCGAAGGCGGCCCCU